rnacentral:rRNA from 1 species
GGCUUAUUGAAAAUAAUUUUAAGUCAAUCUGCCCAAUGAUUUUUAAUUAAAUGGCUGCAGUAUAAUUAACUGUACAAAGGUAGCAUAAUCAAUUGUUUUUUAAUUGAAAACUGGAAUGAAAGAAUUAAUGAGAUAUAUACUGUCUCAUAUAUAUUUAAUGAAUUUAAAUUUUUAGUAAAAAUGCUUAAAUAAUUUUAUGGGACGAUAAGACCCUAUAGAAUUUUAUAUUAAUAUUUUAUUAAUUAUUUAAUAAAAAUAUUAAUAUUUAAUUGGGAGGAUUAAUAAAUUUAAAAAACUUUAUUUUAAAAAUAAACUUUGAUUUUAGAAUUAAUUUUUGAUCUUUUAUUAUAAAUCAAAAGAAUAAAUUACCUUAGGGAUAACAGCGUAAUAUUUUUUUAAAGAUCGUAUUUAUAAAAAUGUUUGCGACCUCGAUGUUGAAUUAAGAUAAAUUUUAAACGGAGAAGUUUAAUAAUUAAGUCUGUUCGACUUUUAAAAUCUUACAUGAUUUGAGUUCAAAUCGACGUAAGU